UCAUGGAUUGGCUUCGAGACAGCUUCGAGACAGCCCAAACCGUUCAAAUCAGGCCACAGCGACGGCUUGAUAAGGAUAACCAAAGCUGAUCUCGAAGGCCAUGCUUAUGCUGGCUGCAGACGGCGGAAGCAAUUCAAAGGUAAAAUACGUUUUAGAAUUUCUUUCUACGCCAAACUAUAGUGUAAAAUAUAGAUUGUUCUACAGUUAUUUUGUCUUGCAACAUCUAUACGUAGUUGUGUGUAACCCGGGACAAAAUUUUAGUAUGCGAGUGUACUGGUUAAUAUUUUUGUCAUCACAGAGGCCACAACAUUCUCACAAGUAUGCAGGUGGCGCUAUUGUUUUUCCUCCGUGUUCUGUGAUGGCGGUCGUAUGUGCGGGGUGCUACGAGCGUCGCGUUUGCUUGAUCGUGUGUUUUUGUGUUUGCUGUUAUGAAGUAGGUCGCAGUUAGCGUGCACAGAAGUGCCUGAAGAUACCUUGUGUCACGCUGCAAACUCGCCGUAUGCGUGGCGCGCCAGGCAAAUGUGGCCCAACGAUUUUAUGCCGUGGAGUGCGGUCUCUUUGUUCUCGUUCUGGAAAGUUGGGUGGACGUCGCAAAGAAAUAAUGUGUGUUAGCGCGCCUCAGCUCGUCCACUACGCAGCGGCAUGUAUGCGGGGAGUAACAUCGUCGACGCAGCACCGGCAACUUGGAGAGUGCUUCGCGACCGCGUCGUACCAUUCAAAAGUGGCGAGGCUGUGACCCAUAACAGUGCCUACAUAACGGAGGAGCCACCAGACCCCUUGGCUAUGCCUGCCGUAGUGCAACGUAUAAUCUGGAUGGUCGGGUCAGGUACACCUAGGAAAUGUUGUAUACAUUGGCAACGAUAACUGGGGCCUGCUCCAGUGCCAUCGCCGGGAUUCCCUGUUCUGCAAAGAACUCGCAUAACUGAUGUGGGGAGCCCUGGCGCUCGGUGUAGGAGUGUCACAGGGGCUCCUUGUCGGUGCUUGAAGGACGGCAAUGCUGUUGAGAAGCCGACAUUGAGCCCCGAUAAAUUGGAAGCUGUGGGUAGUUACCGCAUUAUUGACUUGGAAACCAGUGAGGUCUGGAUGCAAGUGAAGCUACCGAGGGAGGCAUGUGUGCAUCACUUGUGCUGCUGGCCAUCCUCUGCAAAAGUGAUGGCUGGCAGUCAGUGCUUGGAUGACUUUCUGUUACUCUACGCCUUGGGCUGUGUUGACUACUUCACACUUGCUGCCAUGUCUGCAAGCUUAGGCAAGAAAGACCGGUUGGAUGCUUGGCAGGAGAUAGUAUCCAACCGCAGUGUUACUGUGUUGUGUUGUACAUUACAAAGUGAAGGAGGACAGUAUUUGUGCUGUUAUUAAGAAGUAUAAAUUGUGUUCUGCCAUUGAAAUAAGGGAACUCGACACAAAGCAAAAGAUUUCGAAGUCUGACCUACAUGGGAAAGCAAAAUAUAUUGUGUUGUAGUUGUAGCUGUUAGUAGAGUCUUAAUAUGCGAUAGAAGACCUUGAUGUUUAAUAGAAAAUAUAUUUAAGUGUGUUAUCAGUGUGUUAUCAGUGUUUAAGUUACUGUUAUGUGUCAUUUGUUUGCCAGGAUGAUGUAAGCAGACAGUAAAUAAAUGCAUGGUUUGAGAUUAUAACCAGGUUUG